rnacentral:rRNA from 1 species
AGCGAACGCUGGCGGCAGGCCUAACACAUGCAAGUCGAACGAACUCUUCGGAGUUAGUGGCGGACGGGUGAGUAACACGUGGGAACGUGCCUUUUGGUUCGGAAUAACUCAGGGAAACUUGUGCUAAUACCGAAUGCGCCCUUCGGGGGGAAGAUUUAUCGCCAUUAGAGCGGCCCGCGUCUGAUUAGCUAGUUGGUGAGGUAACGGCUCACCAAGGCGACGAUCAGUAGCUGGUCUGAGAGGAUGACCAGCCACACUGGGACUGAGACACGGCCCAGACUCCUACGGGAGGCAGCAGUGGGGAAUCUUGCGCAAUGGGCGAAAGCCUGACGCAGCCAUGCCGCGUGAAUGAUGAAGGUCUUAGGAUUGUAAAAUUCUUUCACCGGGGACGAUAAUGACGGUACCCGGAGAAGAAGCCCCGGCUAACUUCGUG